rnacentral:rRNA from 1 species
GUCCUUUUGUGGGGGAACCAGCGGGGAGGGAU